rnacentral:rRNA from 1 species
CUAACACAUGCAAGUCGAGCGGAAACGAGUUAUCUGAACCUUCGGGGAACGAUAACGGCGUCGAGCGGCGGACGGGUGAGUAAUGCCUAGGAAAUUGCCCUGAUGUGGGGGAUAACCAUUGGAAACGAUGGCUAAUACCGCAUAAUACCUACGGGUCAAAGAGGGGGACCUUCGGGCCUCUCGCGUCAGGAUAUGCCUAGGUGGGAUUAGCUAGUUGGUGAGGUAAUGGCUCACCAAGGCGACGAUCCCUAGCUGGUCUGAGAGGAUGAUCAGCCACACUGGAACUGAGACACGGUCCAGACUCCUACGGGAGGCAGCAGUGGGGAAUAUUGCACAAUGGGCGCAAGCCUGAUGCAGCCAUGCCGCGUGUGUGAAGAAGGCCUUCGGGUUGUAAAGCACUUUCAGUCGUGAGGAAGGUAGUGUAGUUAAUAGCUGCAUUAUUUGACGUUAGCGACAGAAGAAGCACCGGCUAACUCCGUGCCAGCAGCCGCGGUAAUACGGAGGGUGCGAGCGUUAAUCGGAAUUACUGGGCGUAAAGCGCAUGCAGGUGGUUUGUUAAGUCAGAUGUGAAAGCCCGGGGCUCAACCUCGGAAUAGCAUUUGAAACUGGCAGACUAGAGUACUGUAGAGGGGGGUAGAAUUUCAGGUGUAGCGGUGAAAUGCGUAGAGAUCUGAAGGAAUACCGGUGGCGAAGGCGGCCCCCUGGACAGAUACUGACACUCAGAUGCGAAAGCGUGGGGAGCAAACAGGAUUAGAUACCCUGGUAGUCCACGCCGUAAACGAUGUCUACUUGGAGGUUGUGGCCUUGAGCCGUGGCUUUCGGAGCUAACGCGUUAAGUAGACCGCCUGGGGAGUACGGUCGCAAGAUUAAAACUCAAAUGAAUUGACGGGGGCCCGCACAAGCGGUGGAGCAUGUGGUUUAAUUCGAUGCAACGCGAAGAACCUUACCUACUCUUGACAUCCAGAGAACUUUCCAGAGAUGGAUUGGUGCCUUCGGGAACUCUGAGACAGGUGCUGCAUGGCUGUCGUCAGCUCGUGUUGUGAAAUGUUGGGUUAAGUCCCGCAACGAGCGCAACCCUUAUCCUUGUUUGCCAGCACUUCGGGUGGGAACUCCAGGGAGACUGCCGGUGAUAAACCGGAGGAAGGUGGGGACGACGUCCAGUCAUCAUG